rnacentral:lncRNA from 10 species
GAGUUUUCUCACACUCCAUGCAAGUGAGUUGGCGCAGAUAGACGUGCGGAAAUUGGAAUCUAACUCCACAUAAACCAGUUAUGUAUACGGGAAGUCCUUAUUUUGCAUAGUAAUGCAAGACCAUAAAAAUGACUGUGUAAGCUGAAACCCUGCAAAGCAAUCUUAAUCGAAGGGAAUAAUUACAGUUGUUCUGUGACCUUUAAACAUUUUUGUCAAAACAUUAAACAUUCUCUUACUGUUGUUUAUAAAUGCAUGGGGAAAUGAAAAAUUAACAAAACUAAUAUUUAUUUAUUACACUGUAAUUUAAAACAUUAGAAACAUUGAGAAUUAAGGUGUUUUAUUUCUUUGUAAAGAACAUAUCAAAAGUAGUUUGCACAGUUCUUGCCUUUCUCCCCUUACUGUAUAGCUUAUGAUACAGCUGGAGCAACUUUUCUAUGCCUUGGUGAAUUGUCGUACUUUGUUGUAAGUGUAGUCUAGUUCUAAGUCAGGUCCUAAUGUUUUAUCCUUUGCUCUUGCAAUGUUACAAAAUAUCUAUAAGAAUUCCUUGAAGGUGAAGUUUUUUGCCAGUGCCACUUCCACUGGCACAUCUUCAUUUUCUUGGAAUCUGGAUGCAGAUUUCCCAGCUGCAUGCUUACAUGUGCUAGCAGCUUCAUCACUAGCUUGACAUCAAUCAAUUCAUGCUAAAUUCUGGAAUGAGGAAACAAGCCUUUACUGGCAGUAAAAUAUUCUUCUUCAGUAUCCUUGUAAUUACCAUUUUCUUUCAAUGUGGCAACUAAGAUCAAUGCUUUGGCCAGGAUGCAAGCCAAACUACUUCGGAUUUUGAAAUAUUACAGUCUUCAAUCCAAAGUAGAAAACUCUCCAAGCAUAAGCAGCUUUCUGGUCCUAUUGCAAUUUAAACUAAGAGAUGAAGCAACGUUACCUUGCUUUUAAUACACAUUGGAUUUUUCCAGUGCAGUUUGUUCCAUAGCUCCAUGCAGGCCAUGGUGCAUCCAGUCUUUGCUCUGCUCUUGCCAAUUUCACAUCUUCAAUCUAAUCACAUCCAGUUUACUGCCGGCAUUAUCACUUUUUGUUUCUUUGUUGCAUUUUUAUUUUUGUUAGCUUACCCUCUAUCCAGUGAUCCAUUUUUUGUAAAAUUUUCAUCACAUGGAUUUAUCACUGGAAGACAAGGAGGCAACACAACUUCACAUUUUGCUGUCUGGGCAUGAACUGAGUAACAGAUAUGCAAUGACUAAUCAAGGACAGGCUUUGAAAGAAGUGAUGUGAUUGGUUCAUCAUGAUGUGCAUCUGUUGUUUAUAUCAUGAUUUGCGGACUGGCAAGCAGGCAGUGAAGUUUGUACUUUAUGCAAUUAUAGUUAAUAUAUACUGUGGUGACUGAAAUUUGAACUAGUUUUUGGGAACGGGUAUUAUUUCGCUAAACUGAAACUUGUGCACAUCAGUGCCAUAAAAAGCAAGGACUGCUUAUUAAUGUGUACCAACCAAAUACUUUUGGGCACAUUCACAGCACAGCACUUCCUCCUCCUUGUGGUUGGACGGUUCCACGUGACCAGUCUAGCCAAUGGAUUGUGAGCAGAAGUUACAUGUGUCAGUUCCGUGCCAAACCAUUUGAUGGACAGUCAGUCGUGUCCUAGCCCCUGAGGAUAUCGGAGGAGGUGGCUGCUCUGUUAGCCUAAGUCUCUGAGCAACAAAGUUUAGGACUCUGCAGAAAGUGCCUACCAUCAAGAAUGUCUCUCGCCAGACGUGGUAACUUGACCUUGAACUUCUCAGCCUCCAUAACUGUAAGAAAUAAAUUCCUUUUCUUUGUAAAUUACCCGGUUUCAGGUAUUCUUUUAUAAGCAAUAGAAAAUGAGACUGUUUCCUCACCCCUCCCUCUUUGCCCUCAAGAGGCGACCACUUACUUGCCUCUUAUGGAAACACCCUCCUUCCUUUCCUCAUGCCAUUAUCAGUCCACAUGUGCAUCCUUCAACAUUGUGGUUUAGUUUUACUUUUUAAAUAUUUUAAAGUCUCUUUUAAUGUACAGACUUCCCCUUUACCACACUCCUUUCCCCUUGUGAAUGUAUGUGUUACAAGAACUAGAUCAUUGGUAGAGUUUCCCACAGCAUAGAUUUUGCCACUUGUACCCCCACGGUGCCAUUGAUGUGUUCCUCUGGCCCCUGUAUUUCCUGUAAAUUGCUAGUUGGAUCUAUAGGCUUGAUCCAAUGUGGGUUUGAUUAUUUUUGGCAAGACAACGUCAUAGGUGGUGGUGCCUUUGUUCUCCAGAAAGUGUAAUCAUCUUUAAAAUAAUUAUUAUUUUAAUAAUAACCAUAGGUGUUCAUUUAUUUGGGGUUACAGAAUGGCAAAAUUCCAAUUUGAAAUGUCUCCUGUUCCACUCUGGUUACCAAUGAUGCAGUUCAAAUGGGACCAUCAGGGUAAAUGCUUGAUUUUUUUGUUUGUUUGUUUCUUCAGAAUUCAAAGCUUUGUCACAUACAUGUACUAGUUGCUAAGAUCUGAAUGUGGCAAAACUGUUGUAAAGGUCAACCUGGCCUCGAUUGGCCCAGCCUUCUCUCCCCAGGUCCUUUGACCUCCUGAGAGAUCAUUCCAGGCCCUGUGAAUCUCAGUUUUUCUUCCCAUCUCCCCACCCCGUCAGAGCCCACCUUCAUGGAGGGAAGGUCCUCAUGCUCACUCACCUUAGGAGGUAAAUUGUGGGCAUUGUCCACUCUAGGGAAUGUGGAUUUUAAGGCCUCUCUCUCAAAUAUUGUCUCACUUAGUCCCUGUGGAGUUCAAAACAGGUAGCUUCAAGCCCAAACUCACCUUGCAAUGUUUUGUUUUGGCCAUCACAGAGUGUUUUCACUUGUUGUUUGUUUUGCUUUUAAGUGGAGCAAGACUGCAUUUAGGCAGGGGCAUAUUCUCUGCAGUUAGAUCAGAGCCCACCGCCUCCCCUUGCAUUGUACCCGCCCUGUGUUCUGAGUCCCUUUGUGUUGCAGAACCUUGUAGGUAGGUGUUAUUAGCCCAUUUUUCAGGUGAAUGGACAAGAACUGGAGAAUUGAUGUGGGGGACCUAGGUGAGGCACAAAUGGAAAUGGAACAGCCACUGAGUGCUCUGGGAAGGAGACCACAAGCCAAAGGAGAGAGUCCACACUGGGAAGACCCAGCUACAGGGCCCUCUCCAUCCAGCCUGGUGCAAACUAAAACCCACAUUCUUUUUUCUUCCCUUUUACAGAGACAGCUCAAGGAAGCAUGAUAAAAUGAGGCCUAAGAUAAUAUUUGAGGGGAAAGUUUAUUUUUUUAUGGUCUGUUUGCAUUACACCAUCGGGUGAAGAGAGGAGGAGAAAGACUUGUCCCAAAUGGCAGAGCUGGAGAAGCACAAAUCCAAUGUCAAUAGUUGGAAAUACAAGUGUGUGGUUUCAUUAAACUUCUUUUUUUAAAAAAAACUUUGUUCUUCCUUUUCCUGAGGCAGUCCAAGGGAAGGGGACACAGAGGUGGAAACAGACAGGGAGAGAGGAGGGAGCAAGCCAGGGCCAGCGAAGGGGGCUUGUCUUAAGGAACCUGCUCCCGCUGUGAGUGUCCUCAGCCAGCCCAGGAGGCUGGCAGGCCUGAUCAGAAGCAGCCAGCCAGAGCCUUCCGCUGAUUCCAAUGACGGCUGCUAAGCAGGGGCAGG